UACGUAUGGUGCAAGCGUUAUCCGGAUUUACUGGGUGUAAAGGGAGCGCAGGCGGCGCGUUAAGCCUGGUGUGAAAGCCCGCGGCCCGACCGCGGGACUGCAUUGGGAACUGGCGCGCUGGAGUGCCGGAGGGGUAGGCGGAAUUCCUAGUGUAGCGGUGAAAUGCGUAGAUAUUAGGAGGAACACCAGUGGCGAAGGCGGCCUACUGGACGGUGACUGACGCUGAGGCUCGAAAGCGUGGGGAGCAAACAGG
rnacentral:rRNA from 1 species